CCUGUCAUCUUUGAUUCUUUAAGCCAUUAAUUAUAUUUGUACUUUGAUAUCUGAAAUGGAAGGGGAGGGGAGGAAGGAGAAGGAAGUUCUAAUUAGGGUCAUAGUUCUGCACUCACUCACAAUGUUUUAAGUUCCUAAUCAACCCUAAAGGCAGAGAGCAGCUCUUCAGAUUUUCAUGCUUCUCUUCUUCUCUUUAUUGCCUCUAGAGAGAGAUUACUGCAGUAUAUGCGAAAAGCAGCCGAUCGGAAGGCUUCUCUUUCGGCAGUUCUGUGAAACUCGACCCGAGCUUGAGUGCUGCAUUAGGUUUCUUGACUCAGUGGCAGAGUAUGAAAUUGCUCCAGAUGAAAAGCUGGGAGAGAAAGGAAAGGAAAUCAUGAUGAAAUACCUCACCCCAGAGGUAAGGGGCAGCCAGAGUGGUAUUACUGAAGGAAUGCUGCAAGGCACACCUUGGCUAAACAAGGUUGUUACAGGCUAUAGAUCUGUCCUUGACCACCUCAGCGGGGAACCAUUCCAAGAAUACCUAAACAGCAUGUACUUCGACAGGUUUCUGCAGUGGAAGUGGUUGGAAAGGCAACCAGUAACGAAAAACACAUUUAGGCAGUACAGGGUACUGGGGAAAGGUGGCUUUGGGGAGGUCUGCGCUUGCCAAGUCCGAGCAACAGGGAAGAUGUAUGCCUGCAAAAGAUUAGAGAAGAAGAGAAUAAAAAAGAGGAAAGGCGAAUCCAUGGCACUAAAUGAAAAGCAGAUUUUAGAAAAAGUCAAUAGUCAGUUUGUAGUCAAUUUAGCCUAUGCCUACGAAACAAAGGAUGCACUGUGUUUAGUUCUGACCAUAAUGAAUGGGGGUGACUUGAAGUUUCAUAUCUACAAUAUGGGAAACCCAGGCUUUGAGGAAGAACGAGCUUUGUUUUAUGCGGCAGAGAUUCUUUGUGGCUUAGAAGACCUACACAGAGAAAAUACUGUAUACAGAGAUUUGAAGCCAGAAAAUAUCCUACUAGAUGAUUAUGGUCAUAUUAGAAUAUCUGAUUUGGGUCUAGCUGUUAAAAUUCCUGAGGGUGAAUCAAUCCGUGGAAGGGUAGGAACAGUAGGGUAUAUGGCCCCAGAAGUGUUGAACAACCAGAGAUACACGCUCAGCCCUGACUACUGGGGGCUAGGCUGUCUCAUUUAUGAAAUGAUUGCUGGGCAAUCACCAUUUCGUGGAAGGAAAGAGAAAGUGAAGAGGGAAGAAGUGGACAGGAGAGUGCUGGAGACGGAAGAAGUGUACUCCCAUAAGUUUUCUGAGGAGGCCAAGUCCAUCUGUAAAAUGCUCCUCACCAAAGAUUUGAAGCAGCGACUGGGAUGUCAAGGGGAAGGUGCAGCAGAAGUGAAGAGACACCCCUUUUUCAAGAGCAUGAAUUUCAAGCGGUUAGAAGCAGGAAUGCUGGAUCCUCCCUUUGUCCCUGAUCCCAGAGCAGUAUAUUGCAAGGAUGUGUUAGACAUCGAGCAGUUCUCCACAGUGAAAGGAGUAAACCUGGACCAAACAGAUGAUGAUUUCUAUUCCAAGUUUUCCACAGGAUCAGUCUCUAUUCCAUGGCAAAAUGAGAUGAUAGAAACAGAGUGUUUCAAAGAACUAAAUGUGUUUGGACCAAAUGGUACUAUUUCACCAGACCUAAAUAAAAGCUACCCCCCAGAGCCACCCAAGAAAGGAUUGCUACAGAGAAUAUUUAAACGACAGGUGAGAUCUUUUAUGACUAACACAAGGACCUCCCAUAGUACAGAUGCCCAGUGUCACAGCCAUGUUCUGGUGGUAUUUCUGCUAGGAGAUAGGCACAAUGUCUUAGAGAGAGCUGGCUGUCACAGUUUCCUGGUAAUUUCCUGA
ensembl:lncRNA G protein-coupled receptor kinase 5